CCCGAUGACGAGUGGCUUCGGGUCUGAGGUAUGAUGACACCAGCUAUCGCCGAGG
rnacentral:snoRNA from 1 species